rnacentral:lncRNA from 1 species
CGGGACCAGGACAGAAUGAAAGCGGGCUGGGGGAGAGAGAGGUGAGAACUGAGUUAACGAGAGGCGCUGGGAGUGGGAGUCUUGGGCCUGGAGAGAAACAAAUACAAUCCAAGGCCCCAGCUCCCACACAGACAAGCAGAGCGGUGCUUUGUAGCGAAGCAAGCCAAAGAGGGGUGGGCAGGCCAGCCGGCACUCAGAGGCGCAUCGCUGCAGAGCAUCGUUGCUGAGAGUGGAAGACGGAAGUAGGAAACUGGGGGUUGGCCCAGAAAAGACAAGAAGAAACGCAGCGCACAAGCUUACCGGCUUCGGCGGGGAGGGAGGAAACGGCAGAUAAUAAUACACUCUAGAGAUAAAUUAAUAACACUAAGCUACCUCGCCAGGGUGUUACGAGUGUUAAUUAAUUAAUUAUUGUUUGCCAAGCACUUUGAAGGUGGAAAGGCUCUGUAAUUAUUAUGAAUAAAAUGUCAGGGAUAAUAAUCGGGCAGAAGGCAGUGACCUCCCCGGCACCUCAUUUGCAUGGCACGAAGGAUUCAGGGAUGCUCUGCCAAGGCGAGACCUGCCGAGACGACAGAUGCCCGUCCCGACGCCCAGCCUCCUCCUCCCGCGUCUUUCUGGCGCCCCCCGGGGUCCGCGGCCUCUGUUCCCCUGGCAGCGGAUGCCCGAGAAGCCGGGUGAGAUGCUCCCGCCUCCCUCCCGCCUCCUUGGUUGACGAGGCAAAAGAACUGCAGAAUAUUUACCAGCCCUGGCCCAUGUGUUCGGGAAACAGUCCUGCCAAUGAAUGCCUCUUCCUACCGACCAGCGGAGAAGAGAGAGGAACACCUCCCUAAGGCUCGGCGAGUUUGGCGAGUUUGGGGCGGGGGAGGGACACCAACGUGGCUACUGGGUCUGGACAGAAUUUUGCACAUUUUAUACCAGAAAAAUAAAA